UUUCGGGUCGUAAAACUCUGUCCUCAAGGAAGAUAAUGACGGUACUUGAGGAGGAAGCCCCGGCUAACUACGUGCCAGCAGCCGCGGUAAUACGUAGGGGGCUAGCGUUAUCCGGAUUUACUGGGCGGAAAGGGUGCGUAGGCGGUCUUUCAAGUCAGGAGUGAAAGGCUACGGCUCAACCGUAGUAAGCUCUUGAAACUGGGAGACUUGAGUGCAGGAGAG
rnacentral:rRNA from 1 species